UGUGGGUGUGGGGAGGCUUGCAUGGCUAAUGCCCGCAAUAUGCCCGCAGGGAGCUUUGCUGACCGCCGCUCCUGCUGCUCUGCCGCUGUCGCUGCUGCUGUUGCUGCUACUGCAUUUAAUCAAUCUAAUGCAUGCUGUCCCCAGGCCACACCGGACAGCUCGCUAUCCCCCUUCGACACCCGUCAAAUUAACACCUCAACGAGUCAAUCGCUCAAAAAUAAUUAAAAGCCAGAGAGAAAAGAGAGUAAUUGAGUGGGAUAGUGAGUGCAAUCGUUUAUAGGUGAUUUGCGAAACUAGGGGAAGUACGGAGAGUGGAUGAAUAAGCAAUCAAAGGGAGACAAUCUGCUGUAGAAUCGAAAGCGAGAAAAGUGCAGAGCAAGAAAUAUAUAUUUCCCAUCAGCAAAUUGAAGGAUGAAGGACGGCGACUGCUUAAGCGACACCACUCACUCAAGAGGAGGGGGAACGGGUUAGAGGCGACCGCAAACUGCUUAGCAAAAUUGCUAAUAAACCAACAACAAUGCACGAAACAGCAAUAACAGGGCGAUGAACGAAGGAGCGAGGCGGAAGGCAAAGAAUGAGGAGGAUAGGCAAUAACAGGAACAACAAGCACAAUGGCCAAAGGAGAUAAAAAAAGUGUGUCGAUAGCAGCGGCACAGCAUAAUAAAGCAGAACUUUGCGGGAGGAGAGCAGAGGCUGGCAGAAGGAGAGAGCGUGGACAAGCAAGAGAUUAGGCCAGCGAGUGGGGAGAGAGCAGGCAGUCAACGUUUAUUUUUAAACAUAUUGAAAAGGCAGCAAGAAGAAGCACAAGAAAAGGGGGAAGAAUAAGAACCAGCAUCUGCGACCAAGGCAGGGCAUAUCUAUGUAAGGUGCGGCACCACUGCCUUUUGGAGGUGCUUAAUUUUGUGCCCUGUCCUUACUAUAAACUCGGAGUCAGUCCCCAAUAUGAGUUAAAUGUGGGACUACGACAAGCCAAAACUAUUUUCUAUACCUGAUAGAGAGAGAGAUGUUUCUGCCUUCGAUCAAGGAGAGCAAGUCUAAGCAGGGUGUGUGUUUUGAGGCACUUUCCUGCCCUGUUCUAUGUUUGUGUUAUGAGGCGACGGACGACAAUUCAACACCUUACAUGAAUUGCCCCUUGGGCCGAGCCAAAAUAAACAGUCCAAAGGCGAAGGAGGAGGAAGGAGUGGAAAGAGGUAUUAGAAGCACUGGGCCGAGGGACAGGAGAGGAGAGGUAGCGAAAGUCCUUGGCAGUGGCUAAAAGUUCGAACAAACUGAACGGGUUGCUCUGCCGAUGAGGAGGGGAGGAUAUCUGAUUGAAAGAUGCGUCGAAGCGUCGCUGUCGCUGUCGAUGUCGGCUGCUCACCUUGAACCACAA
rnacentral:sRNA from 1 species